GGGUACGAAAUAUGUCCACAAAACCCCGUUUACGUCGUACCCAAAGCGAGAAUAAACAUGACAUAACAAACGAAAAAAAGAAAGAAGUUCAACAACAAGCACAUGGGAAAGUCGCAUUGAAGUUCAAGAUCACGGCCAAUGCAUGCGUGAAACACUAUGUAAACAUUUAGAGCAUAGCUGAAAAUAAAUUCCAACAUGCAGCGAUUUCAUGAAGUGCAACAGAUAAAUGUCUGCACAAUUUAGAUAAUUCUAUAUCCAAUAAUCUGCCAUGUGCAAAGGAUUUCGUGGGAGUUAAAUUUACAAUGACAAACACUUGAGAAGUUGAGUAGGAUUGCACUGCACACUAUUGGAGAUACAUGCAUUGAACUGAGAACCUGUUCAUGUGGGUUGGUUUUGACAGCCUUCCUGAAAUGUGUGACCACAUAGGUGAUACUGAUAAGUUGGUGGUCACAGUUAGUGUCUACCUAUAAAACUUUUAACAUGCGUGAGAGUGAUAGUUUAGUCUAGACAGCAGCACUGAAGACAUUAUGUUGCAGACUUUUGUUAGUAUAUAAUGAAAAAGAAUUUACAAAAUAAAUAAUAUAUAUAUUAUAUAAAUUUUGUUACUAUGGCGCCAAAUAAUUUGGACAAAAUCGACAAGUUGUCGCUUCAAAACCAGUCAAAUCCUUUGUGCUGCAAUGAGGUUGAUACAACUUUAAUGUCAUUAAAAGAACGGAAAAUAAACAAAGAUACAGAUGAAAGAAUCAAUGAAGAUCCAGGUAUUAAAGAAGUGCAUGAAUCAACUUGCGAUGCUAAUUUGCAGACAAGAAAAGACGAUAAUAAGAAUUACAAGUCGUGUUUAAAUAGCGAAAUGAAGGAUUUUAAAGUUUACCACAAACAAAAGGAACAUGCUCUUAAUAACUAUGUAAGCAUUCGUGCAGCUUUACUUGAUAUUUCACCAAAGUGGUUGAAAUCUUUUUUGAAGGAGCCAGAACAUAUGAUAAUAACAAAAGCUAAAAAGGGUGAUGAAAUUCACAGACAGGCUGAUUCCCUGUUGAGCACCGACAGUGGCUUCAACAACUACAGAGGGCUUCUAAACCUCUGCAUAAUACUUCUUGCAUUAGCCAAUGCAAGAUUGUUUCUCGAAAACAUAAUAAAGUAUGGUAUAUUGAUUGACCCCAUACGAUGGCUUCGGAUGUUCUUUAACCAGCCCUACAGCUCAGCCAAUCUUGGCCUAAUUCUGGGUUCCAAUGUGUUCAUCCUUGCCAUAUACAACACAGAAAAGGCCAUACAAAAGGGGUGGUUUUCGGAACAUGUUGCAUUUGUUAUCCAAGCGGUGACCUUGACCUUACUGGUGUUUGUUCCCGCGGCGAUAGUUCUAGUCUUGGAGCCCAACCCUUUGAUUUCCACCAUUAUUCUGGGCAUGUACACGGUGAUGUUCCUCAAGCUGGUGUCCUACGCCUCUGUCAACAAGUGGUGCAGGCAGUCUGGGUCUCCAAAGAGGCUACGACGCACUAAGUCUGUCUCAAUUUCGGAAGGUUCUCCAGUUGCCAACGGCAAGGAAGAGACUAUGCUCAUCAACUAUCCUGAAAACAUCAAUUUAAACAAUCUGUACUACUUCAUGUGUGCCCCUACACUGUGCUAUGAGUUGAACUUUCCCCACACUCUGAGGAUUAGGAAAAGAUUCUUGCUGAAAAGACUGAUAGAAAUGCUGUUCAUCAUUCAACUGAUAGGCGCUUGUAUCCAGCAGUGGAUUCUCCCCCUUGUCCAUAACUCUCUGAAGCCCCUGUCAGAGUUGGACGCGGCGCGGUGCGUCGAGCGUCUGCUGAAACUGGCGAUACCCAACCACUUCAUCUGGCUCAUGUUCUUUUACUGGUUCUUCCAUUCCACCUUGAAUGUUCUUGCUGAGGUGCUAAAGUUCGGGGACCGGGAGUUCUACAAGGACUGGUGGAACGCUGAUACAGUUCUGGGAUUCUGGUCUAGUUGGAACAUCCCUGUUCACAGAUGGGCCACAAGGCAUCUAUAUAAGCCGCUACUGAAGAUGGGCUGGUCAAAGCUCAAUGCAUCAAUUGCAGUUUUCUGUCUCUCUGCAUUUUUCCAUGAGUAUUUAGUAAGCAUUCCAUUACACAUGUUCAAGCUGUGGGCGUUCAUGGGCAUGUUAGGACAGGUGCCCCUGGCCCUCAUUCAGAGCCGCUAUAUCCACUGGAAGCUGGGAAACAUGGUGGUCUGGUUGUCCCUAAUCCUUGGUCAACCAAUCGCCAUUCUCGCCUAUUACCAUGACUACUACAUCAACAGCCAUGCAUAUGAGUCAUUUGCUGACGUGGCUAGUCAGAACAUCACGUCAUAGACACCUUUUUAUUUGUCAAAUGUUGCCAUAUUGUUCAAGCAAUUUUACAUUGGAUUCAUUUAUAUACAAGUUAUUAAUAAAUUGAUAAAUGUACAGGUACAUUAAGUCCCACAUAGAUUGUCUCUGUUUUAGAAUUUAUCUAUAUACCAAAAACUUACUUCAAUUAUGUGAAAUUAAAGUAUAUAAAUAAUAGUUAUUGAUUUAAACUAUGUUAGGCAUUCCUAGGAUAUUUCAUGAUCAAAAUUUGUAGUUAAAGACCAUUUAUUCAAAAAUAAUGUAUGUUAGUAUGUAUAUACAACUUUCAGCAUCAUUCUCUAGUCUUAUAAAUGAUUUCUUUCUUAUGAACAUUUAUCAUUACCAUAAUUGUUAAAAAUAAAUGAGCCAUGCUCUGUGAAAAGGGGGUUUAAUGCAUGUGCUUCGUGCUUCCGUGCUCUCUAAAUAGAGGGUUUAAUGCAGAUCGCACAGGCUAAUCAGUGACAACACUUUCCGCCUAAACUGGUUUAUUGCUAGAAAGAGACUUUAUUUAAACGAAAAAAACAUUAAAGAUGACACUGUCGUCCCCGAUUAGCCUGUGCGGACAUGCAUUAAACCCUCUUUUUAGAGAGCACGGUCCAAAUAUUUUGCCAAAGAUAUUUUUGCUAUAUACUUUUCAUAUUGUUUCUACUGAUUUAUCAAUACACUCAAGAUCAAUUUUGUUUAUCAUUCGAAAACAUGAUCAUUUAUACCUUGAUUGUUCUCUAGAUGUCCUUUUUGUUUGUUAAUGAAAUAUAUUUUGUAGAUAUAAAGAAACAAACACAUGCCAGUGUUUGUGUGUACCUUUUACAUGCAAGUGACAAUUCAAGUUAAAAUGGAUGCACCUUGACAUAUGUUUGAUAUAUCAUCUAGUGUAAAAUAAAGGGAAUAUUUUCUCUAUAAUUAUAUAGAAGACUAGCUACAUAUCAGCUGUCCAGAAUACACAGAUUUUUAUUUUUCUAUUUUUGUUUGAAGCUCACCUUAGCAAAAAGAGCUUAUGGUAAGCUAUUGUGAUAUCCCUAUGUCUGGCGUUAUGAGCUGUGUGUCAACAACUGUCUGUCUGUCUAUAAACACAAACUUGUGUUCUCCUUCAUUUUUCAAGGUAACCAUUCAAACUUGCAGGCAUUCUUAUUUACGAUUUAAAGUUAUGCAUUAGCAAAUAUUAUCGUUUUACACUAAAAAUUACCAAAGUAAGGCCCCUUUUUCAAAUCAGACAUUUUAUAUCAUGCUUUCACAACAUGUGGCAUGUUGUGGCAUGUUCCUGAUUACGAUGAAAAGUCCAAAGGCUAUCGUACCAUGUCAAACCUCAGAUACACCUUGUAACCACUCAAGAGACUACUACAUCUAUAACUCAAUCUUGAUUACACUGGCUAAGAAUGUUUCUCUCGACAAUAUAUAUGCUGAGUUCAUAUCUUAGUCUCAUGUGACCGAAAACUAGGUCACCAGGUCAAAUCUCAGAAAAACCGUAUCACCUCUCUAGAGGCCACAGUUAUGAUUACCGUAAAUCUUAACACUGGGUCAGACGGUUUCUCUUGACAAUAUCUAGACGCUUUAGAAGCUAAAAUGUUUACCAAACCUUGUUGGAUCUUGAUCCGUUUUUGUAUCUUGACAGUUUCAACGUGUUUUAAUCUUGUUCAAGGCCAUGUGUACGUUGAACUCUUCACGUCCACAUUGCCCUCUUGUUGUUUUUGUUCAUUUAAAUUGUAGAUAGUAAUUUGGAGUAAAAUUUAUUCAGCAUCUUUUAUCUCCAAUCAAACUUGAGUUUAUUUUUUGAACUUCAUAUUUGUAAUGCAUGAAUUCAAUAUUUCUUUUAAAACACUUACAUUUUUUAAAGUUAAUAAAUGCGCAAUCAUUUUCAGUAGUGAAAAAAGUGGUGGUAAAUAUAAUGUAUGGCACUGCAGGCAACUGUCUUGGUACAUUUUUGUGAUACGUAAGAUGUGAACACUAGCUUAAGGGUGAUUUGCGUAAUCAAGAAGCUACUAACCUGUACAUAUUAUUGCAUAAAAUGGGUGUAUAAUAAUAAUUAAAUGUCUCUUGUUACAACACUUGUGUUCGUUUGUUUUUAGAAAUAUAUGAAGCAUUAGCAAUUACUGUCGUUAUUUCAUGUGGAAUAACAUUUUACUUUAUACAUUUUAUAGACAAAAAACUAAUGGUGUUCUAAAAUUACAUAAUAAGUGAUUAUAUUAUAAUGCAUAUUUGCUGUUAAACUGCGUAUUUCAAUUCAGGUCGAUAAUGGUAGCUGAUGUGUGUUUUUGAUCAAUAAAUUGUUUUGUUGUAUAUUGCGUUUUAAAUUAAGUUGCUAUGUAGACACAGGGACCUAUACAAACAUAGGUCCCUGGUAGACGAUAUUUGUUUUCUGUCAGGGUAAUAUAUUUAAUUAAUUUUGGCAGUUAAGUAAACAAAUAUAUUUUUCAAGAGCUAAACUAUGUCAUUUUUUUCACUAAUCAAGCCAGGUUUUGUCAGUAAUUUGCUCUUUACUGAGCAAGGUUGAGACUGCACGAAUCAACCAUAUGCUACUAAUGUAAUCCAUUUGAAAGGGAUUGUCAGGGGCGUAGAUUACCGUGUAUAGAUGCGGAUAAAAAUAAGCACAGAUUUUUAUUGUGUCUGAUGUUCGUUUUCUUCUUUCUUGUUUUAACGCAACGGCGUACACCGUCAUACAUUUCAAUCAAAUAAAGUUUUACAUAUUUAAGUUGCGACGGAUGUCGGUUCAGUUCAUCAAGAAGUACCGGUAUAUGCUUAUUGAUUUGACUUCCAUGACACCUCGGUGUUGAUCAUGAUAUUGUCCAUAAGUUAGACCAAAUACGAUAGUGGAAUUGUUUAAGUAACUUGUAGAACAUCGGUCUGUGCAAAACCUGUACAAACAUCAACAAACCUUGUGCUGCAUAAAAAAGAUUAAAACAGGGACCUUUACAAACAUGGUUGUAUACAUGUGUAGGUCCCUGAUUAAAGCGAGGAUCUGUCCAUGAACUGUGCUUGUUCCGGCUAGUGUGUGUGGGUUUCCUCCAUCACGCUUGUUUCACGAGCUCAACAGCACGUUCAACAUAAGCACUCGAGACUAGAAAUCAUUUCUUAAUCUGCAUCUUGACGCGUCCUCCAAUGAAAUGAGCCUCUUUCUGGUAAAACGGGACCCAGAGGGGUCGGCUGGAACGUAUCGUCUGUGUUCCCGAAUAGCCUUCACCGAAACCCUAAAAACUGCAUAGCAAACAAUCCUUGAAGGUUGCGCUGACAUUUUACGUGCACGUGUCCUUUAGAAACAUUUAACAAAUUAACAAGCGCUGUAGGUCAAUGACGUAUUGUCCCGACGAAUUUCCUGCAAGCGAGGCAUUCCUCAAAUUACAAAAUUAUUAAAAUGCAUUUGGAAAUUGGGAUAUUCAUACCUGUCAUCGAAUCUACGAAUCACACUAUCAGAUGAUGCAGGUCUCAGAGGGCGGCGAGACGUGGCUCUUUCAUUGUACUAUAUGUAAUUAGACAUUUAAAAAUAGAAGAGACAACAUUUCCCGUUCAUGGACCUCGUGAGUUUAAAUGCAGAAUAUGACAGAAAAUCUUUCAACAGCAGAUAAAGCCUCAUGAACCAAACAAAAAAUGUACCGUUCUGGGUCCGUUCAUGUUUUUAGUGUUUUUAUAAAGUCUACAUAGACAAAUCUGACAUAUAAUUGCUCUACUUGCUACUUAAUUACACUUGUCGUUCCAUAUAUGUCAUGCUGCUUCUUCCUUACGUUUAUUAUAAUAAACCAUUAUUUGUU